GACGAACGCUGGCGGCGUGCUUAACACAUGCAAGUCAACGACAUUCUUAUAGCAAUAUGAGAGUGGAGUGGCGCACGGGUGAGUAACACGUAUGCAAUCUGCCUUUCGCCCGGGGAUAACAUCUCUAACGAGGUGCUAAUACCCGAUGAAGCAGCGGCACCGCAUGGUGACAGUUGUUAAAGUUUCGGCGGCGAGAGAUGAGCAUGCGUCCCAUUAGGUAGUUGGCAGGGUAACGGCCUACCAAGCCUUCGAUGGGUAGCUGGUCUGAGAGGAUGAUCAGCCACACUGGGACUGAGACACGGCCCAGACUCCUACGGGAGGCAG
rnacentral:rRNA from 1 species